UAGGUAAGGCCCGAGAAGGUCGUGGUUAAAAAAAUAACCGAAACGUCCGCGGGACCUGUCACAAUUAACGCAGCCCGGCAAUAAAAUGGAAAACUUACGAGUACACACGUCACGGCCAGUCUAAAUAUUCGAUUUCUACGGUGCCACUUACGGAUUCUUCGAUCAUUCCGCCGCGCUCGAGGCGAAGCUGGGCGAAGCCACUUAAUAAGGGACGAGCUUGCGCCGUUUUCUCGAAAGACCCCUUUUCCGUACUUGUGAAAGGAAAUCUUUUCGUGGACGGUGACGUUAAUGCAUCGAAAACCCUCGACGACGCUCGAUUCUUUGAUAAUAACGAUAAGGGGAAUUUCUAAGCUAUUCUUCGGGAUAUUUUCAACAACGUUAGUUGAUAUUUCGUCACUGUUACUAAUGUUUUCUUUUGGUGGGUGAGGAAUAACCUCAAAAUCUCUGUCAUCCCUUUUCCUUUUAAAUCACUUAUUGCGACGGUUCCUAUUUUUCUCCUUAUUCGUGCUUUAUUAAAAUUUACAGUAUUCCAUUUAAUCAUUUUUUUAAAAAAAAAGAAAAAAUAGUAAUCGCAACUGAUGCACACUCGCGUCUCGGUCGAUAACUUCGUAUCUUUGUCGCUUUCCAUUCUUGUUUAUUACCGAAAAAGGAAGAAAUGCUAGUUCGGGGAUAGGACGCCACGGGUAACAUUUGUUUCGGCUUAGAAGGGGGUCCCCAGGCUGUAGGUGGUUUCCACGAUAGGGAACCUCGGGUCCUGGGCCAUCUGGAACGACUUAAAACACGGAGAGAAUGGGAGAGACAAAGAUGAGCCUGCCGAAAGUCUUUCGUGCUAGCGAUCCAGCGAAUGUCCUUUUUCUUUCGACCUCGUGCCCUUUAUGUCCACCUUCCUUCGGAUGUGUACGACGUACACUGUACGUGAGCAGAAAGGGACGAGUCGGAUCGGAAAGGAUGGCCGAGAUAACCUCAUGCUCUCUUCCAUUCUCUAGAUGAACUCGUAAAUGGGUCUAGAAUGUCUAGAUUAACCUAUGGAUUACCGAUCGAAUAUUCAAACAUGGCCACCAGUCGCUCGGUAGGUAAAAGUGGAAGUCGUUUCGACAACGAUUUCAAAAGUCGCCGUUCACCUAAGGCCUGAGUAAGUACAUCAAUCCACGGCUUAUACCGGCUUUAGCUGAAUAACGCCACCAGACGAUCCGACGGAUAAUCGUCCUCAUUGAGGAAUGCCAAUCUGGUCUGGAAACUCCCAAUCUUGACUUUCCGACGGAUUUGCCGAAUUUCCAUUGUUACGCAGUAGGCUGGGUGCUGCGAAGCUUUGUUCUUGUCUAAUGACCUACGACACUUAAUCGUGGUAAAGUCUGGACUACGUUAAUUAUAUCGGUAGCUAUCUUCACAAAGGUUCCUUUCAACUGGAGAAUUCUCUGUCUAAUAUUGGCGUCUACUUAUGCAAACUUUUUUUUUGUUGCCUUUAUCGGUACGAAAGUAACCUUAACCUCUUCGUACAUCGGAAAUAACAUCGGUGCAGCCAAACCAUAAAAUUUGUACCCCUCUUUUGGAAGGAUUCUCUAGUUCAUUAUCUCUAGUUUCAUUAUCGACAGUAAUUAUAAUUAUAAAAAUCUAGACGUCUACAUACCAAGGGCGCGAAGAGGUUAUGUUAACUUAUCAAUGUAGGUCUCUGUUUACUCCUGAAAUUGGGUAUAUUAAAUUAGUAAGGUAAUAUUUGUACAGAUUUAAAUAUCUACGGAAUUAUUACCAACUCUUUCGCGUUCCAUUUGAACGAUGGAUUAGUUGUUGCAGCAAUCUAUGUUACCGAUUUACUCGAAGGUAAUCGACGGUCGCUCGCGAAAGUCGAGAUCGGGUAAAUAUACUUUUUUCGGUUUAUCCGUCAACGUUUUUUUUUAGGAUUUCGAAGCGUUAGAAGAAAAAUUCUCUUCUUCCGCGCAGAAGACGGAAGUAGAAAGAGAGAGAGAGAGGGAGAGAGAGACGGAGCUUGGUGGCGAUGGUAGAGAAGGAAGAGGUUUCGAUGGCGAACAACAUCAAAGGGAAGCGACAACGGAUAUGCGUAAACCUCGAGAGCUGCGAAUGCCGAAAAACCGACAGAGGUUCGAGGAAAGACAUAGGCCACCUUUAACGUCGUACAAUUUCCAAGAGGACCAUGUUCGUUACAGGAAAGACAUAGGCCACCUUUAACGUCGUACAAUUUCCAAGAGGGCCAUGUUCGUUACAGGAAGGAAACCUGAAGGACAACCCGCAGCACCGCGUCAUACGCAAGGUUCCACAGAAGCGGUCCGAGGACCGACCCCUGCGGAACUCCGCGGUGCGUCUCCAUCGUGUGCACAACCUGGUACCGGCCGGUAAAUACUACCUCCCUGCCGCGGAGAUAGUCCCAAACCACCUCCAGGAGAUAAGGUGGAAACCUCACCUGGAAAUAAUCCAGCGCCACCGCUAUCUCCCUCCAGGGCAGGGUAUCGAAGGCGUUGGAUAUGUCCAACGACACAGCAAUCAACACCCGGCCCCGAGCGACAGCCCUUUCCUGGAGGAGGCGCAAACGCUCCAACGCGUCCAUCGUUGAGCGACCCCUCCGAGUCCGUCACCCCUGCGGCUGUUUUCACGCAAAACAAAGAAAACCCGUCCUCCCCUCCCGUCGAUAUUCCUUCGUUCCCUUCCCGAAGGGCGGCACUCCACCCUGCCUAGCCACCCUCUCCUUCGUCGACCUGCGCCUUUCUUCGAUCGCGGCUCGAAAGUUCGCAGCCCGCGGUUAUGGGAGCGAGGGGAGACGGAAAGCGUCGUCACCAUUAGCUCGCUGGACAGCCUUCCAAUUACGGAAAUGGUGGGACCCGGGGCGUGGAGGGGUUGACGAGAGGAAAAGUGUCGUUGAUAGGCAGCCUAGGGACACGCGAAGGGUUGAGAUAUGAUUCCCUUCCAUUUUUAUUUUGGUAGAUUGGAAGAGUUUCUAUCACGUUGAUAAUAUUAGUACAAGAUUUCUUAUACCUCUGUAACAAUUCCUCCAUUCUAUAACAAUGCAUUUUUUCUUAGUCUACGUUUCAUCCGUUUUAGUUUUUAAUGUUAUUAUUAAGAAUUACUGUUACUAUUAAAUAUUGCUACUAUAUCUCUUUGGUUUAUAUUAGUAUCGCAUUAGAAGAACGACUGCGCUCGUGGUGGCUGGGGAGAAUGCCGUCUUUGGCAGACAGCGUGGCACCGAAGGCUGUCUAUCCUUCUUUUUUUUUUCCUCGGGCGUGGCAAUAAGGAAGUGGGCCCGCUGCUUAAGAAAACAGAGAGCCGCCAAUAUCGAGGCAGGCCCGGCCGACUGCCUGAGAAAACAGUGAACCGUUUUCGGAAUCCUGUCGAGGAUGCGAGGCGGACUCGGCUUUCCGUCAUGAAUGAAAACCUGAAUGCUCGCGAGGACGACGAGAAAUGCGACUGACGCGUCUGUAGCCAGACGUGGGUAAAACGAUAGGCUAGCUAACAAAUUUCAAAGCUUAACAUUAAAAUCAAUAGAUCAAGAUGAAAGUUAACGCACUUUGGUUAGAAAAUAAAAUGUACAAUUAAUUAAAGAUAUAAGAAUUAUAUAUAAAGAAUUAUAAUAAUAAAGAUAGUGUAGAAGUCUAUAUGAAAUUGAGAAAAUCAUAAAGUGAGUUAGUGGCAGGGAUGUGACAGGAUUUGGAAGUGGAAAGGAGACCCAGGCCCUUUAGGAUUCAAAACGAAACAGACGAUCGUGUUUCUAGGCUGUCUGCCGCAAGACAGCGUGGCACCAGCGGCCAGGGUAGGCGGUGACCGCUUAAUUAACGGCCUGACGAAAGGCAGCGGCAAUUAAUACUUCCUUCCAGGCCCUGGUGUCCCUUGGUCCAGCUUGCACGUGUGAAAUACCAGUAGGCGAUGUUUGUCACUGCGUUGUCACACUGAGAUUUCUCUUCCUAUACUCGCCACUGAGCUAAACAAUGCAGUGAUUAUGUAAACAAACACCGCUGGGUGGGAAACAAAGCAUUAUUGACCAAACGAAGUAUUGACGGUAGACUUAGCGUCGAAACUGAGCGUUUCGGCUCCUGCAGAGUCAGGUCUAAUCCAAACAGUAUUAAAAGUUCUCCAAGGUUGCUGAUGCGUGUACGAAUGAGAGACUUUCAUCCCGUGGGAGCGGGAGUUCUCCAAGGUUGCUGAUGCAUGUACGAAUGAGAGACUUUCAUCCCGUGGGAGCGUACCGCUUUUACAAGUCUGUCCUCAAUUAAACACCGUCCAAUCGCAUCCUUGCAUUCGAUCCUUGGGUUCGAUCGAUCCCUGCUUACGAAGCAGAACUCGUUAUCGCUCCUCGAGCGAUGCCAAUCCGUCUUUACGCCUAACGAGUUGCGGGAACGACAGAAAGUUCGGUGAAGGUGCAAAACGGAUACACAAUGUGUGUAUCUUUCGUGGCCAUAAUGGAGCUUAAUGGAGCUGACUGUCAGCGCGGAGUUUCUCCUUGUCUCGGUAGCAGUUCGCGAUUGGACAAUGCGUGCUCGGUAGCCAUACUGCCUCCGUUAUUUGACAAGACGUGUCCUCGCACACGUGGCCACACAUACGGCGAUCAUUGUAUUGCGAAUGCCGUAUCGUGUCAGUGUAGUGGUCGAAGGAAGAUGAAGCAGAGUUUGGAGAAAGGGUUGAAAUCGAACUAACGACUAAGUUGGCGUCAGUGGAGGUCUGGACGUCUAAAAAAAUGUUUGGGUCAUGCUUGGACUCUCAAGCAUUAAUUUCUCCGUUUCUUCUUUGAUCCUGAGUGUACUAAUAACUCUGAUAUGGAUUAUUUCUGCAUUUGGGACAUGUUGCUGACCCACCAACCUCGCAGAACUCCGGACCCGUUGGCUUGGCGGCUUCCUUCGCGACAAGCCCGUCGAUCGACGAUCCUUCGUUCAGUGACGACGACCAUCGGAGUCAAGCCAUUCUAGGAGGGCUGGUGUUUUGACACGAUGGCACCUCGGAGGAUAAUCCUUUAAACGGCCACGACGGGUGGUCCUCCGCGAGUCACCUUUCCCGCAGGACUUGGCCCGUCGCUUCCGCCUUUAAUCCCGUCGGCCAAUCCCGCGCACGAGCACUUCCUAGCGUCCUCGAAGCCGGGAAAGUCUGCGGUUAAUCCUGCGAAAGUCUGAGAGCCCCCAUACCCUGGCUUCUGUGUACUGUUGCCGAAUUACCAUCAGGAAUUGCCCGAAAAUGUGGAAAUCGGAGAUAAAGUCCGCUUCCUUUCGGGCAGUUUCUCGUCCGUCGAUGAUAGCUUGAAGAUAGAGCGUAGAUCGCGAUCGAAGUUUGUACCGAGCGAUAUAUGUAGAUUUUUCUGUGCGCUAGAACACAAUGCCGUCGUUGUCCUAGGAUUACGCGCGCACGAGUUAGGAUUCGACGGAGCGCAUGGCUAGGCUCGUAGAACCCGAUAUUCGAACAGAGAUCCAACUGUCGGACUCGAGAAUCGUAGAAACUUGUGAAGCCUCGGAUGAAAUUGUCAGGUUCGCGCUGGAUUCGAAGAGUGAAACCGAGAACUUAGUUUGUAACUUAUAAUUAGACCGAGAAUCUUUAUGCAAAAUAAAAUCUUUACGAAUGUAUGUACGUACAAAAAUUCAAGCUAAGUAGGAAUUUAUUUUAUUCUGUAAAUAUUACGAUAGGAAUUUUACUUUCGACAUUUUUUUUAUGUUUCUCAUGCUCAAUGCAUUUUGUAUUCGCAGUCCGCUUAUAAUAAAAUAGGACGAGUCACGUCAAAGUGACAAAUUGUAUUCGGUUGUCUAGGUAUCGGUAGUAAAGAAGAGCAAUAAAACACCUAUCUACAA